rnacentral:rRNA from 1 species
AAUAUUGGACAAUCGGGGCAACCCUGAUCCAGCCAUGCCGCGCGUGUGAAGAAGGUCUUCGGUUUGUUAAGCACUUUAAGUGGGGAGGAAGGGCUUUAGGCUAAUACCCUGAACUUUUUACGUUACCAACAUAAUAAGCACAGGCUAACUCUUUGCCAGCAGCCGCGGUAAUACAGAGGGGGCAAGCGUUAAUCGGAAAUACUGGGCGUAACGGGCGCGUAGGUGGUUCAGUAAGAGGUGUGUGAAAUCCCCGGGCUUAACCUUGGAACUGCUUUCAUAACUGCUGAGCUUGAGUACGGUAGAGGGUAGUGGAAUUUCCUGUGUAGCGGUGAAAAGCGUAGAUAUAGGAAGGAACACCAGUUGCGAAGGCGACUACCUGGGCUGAUACUGACACUGAGGUGCGAAAGCGUGGGGAGCAAAC